AUUGUGUGAGGGAUAGUAUGAAUAUUCUAUGAUAGAGUAAUAUUCGCUUCGAGAUAGACUUAAAGGGCAACAGGACGGAGUCUCUAUGGAACUACCGAACUUCUCUGCCGCGUAGAAAGCGAGUCUAAUUGUUUCCCAGAAUGAAGGCAUUGCCCCUAAUUAUUGUGACAGCCGUCUUCGUAACGACGCUGGCAGCGGAAGGCAAAGCACGGACAUGGUUACGACACGACGCCGAAUGUGAGCCCGGAGAAGAAUGGACAUUCUGUGCCCCAACGUACCCUCCUGUCUGUCCACAGCUAUGCCAGGCCAUGUGCGUUUGCAAGAGGGGUUACGUUCGGUAUCUUGGCGCCACAGGACCAUGCGUCCCCAUAUCGUCCUGCCCCGUCCCCAACUACAAUCCAGGGCGGCGAAGACCAAGGAUUUACUAGGGGCCUUUGCAAAUCGGAAACGGUAUGAACAAGGUUCAACCCAGAAGACAAGGCCCCCUUUAUUCCCACAAGGAAGGUGGGUAGAGGAAAAUGGGAAGGCCGUGGGG